rnacentral:sRNA from 1 species
UUAAGUGGCCUGUAGAUUGAAGUCUUCUGCUUAUCGAUAGAACUGGUACAGCAGAGAGAGCGUGGUGCCAGCUUCUUCACAUGGUCUCACCAAUGUCCCUCAACCCUGACCUGCAGAAGAACGCCUCCAGGGCUGAGAGUAGAAUUAGGCCCAUUCAAACCUUGGCUUGU